GUUCUCCAGGAAUACCGAAAGGCUGCCUCAUAGUACCACGGACAAGCCGUUGCGGCUUACCUACACCACGUUGGUACUACAAUGCCACCAGCGGGACUUGCCGACCCGUUAUGUGGGGAGGAUGUGGAUACAAAGUAAACAUAUUUAAAUCAUCCAGGGAAUGCGAGGGAAGAUGUGGUCGUGCUUAUCGACCGCACGCUGACCGUUGCCUUGAGGUUCCACAAAAACAAAACUGCAGCAACAGCAAGGCUUCAGUCUUGAUGUGGAGCUUUCAGAUGAAUACAAUGACCUGCACUGCUACGUAUUAUAACGGCUGCGAUGGAAACAAGAAUCUCUACAGGACCUGUAAGGUGUGCUAUACGGAAUGCUUGCUUCACACGCUGAAAUUACCAUACUGCCCCGAUAAUCCACCAAGAAGGCAACCCAGCCCACAACGACCGGCAGAAGUUAUACAGAAAAGACCAAAGCUUUAAAAGCCAAUAAAUUCUUUCGCACUGUUACUCCUUACUGCUGAAUAAACUGCAGCCUAAAAGUGGCCAUAUGUAAGCAUGGUAACUUGAACUGCUUUAAUGAACCGGAAAGAGCUGGCUGCCUAAUAAAAGUGGAUAAUGAAAAGUAGUUCGUGGGAAAAUUUUUCAAAGAAUUAAAACUUGUCGAAUAAUGUAUGCCACUGGAGCCAAA